CAAUACAUCAAUAUGUCGUCCAGUCAGUCACUCAAACGAUUCGCUCAAUGAUGCGUCAAAAUGUUGCUGCUGCUGCUGCAAUCUGUUUUUGCUGCUGCUGCAUUCUGAGGAAAGG